CAACUACUCCCUCUGUCCCAAAUUUCUUGUCUUAGAUUUGUCGGAUGUAUCUAAUACUAAAAUGUGACUUGAUACAUCCGUAUCUAGACAAAUCUAAGACAAGAAUUUUGGGACGGAGGGAGUACUUU
rnacentral:pre_miRNA from 1 species